rnacentral:lncRNA from 1 species
AUUAAACAAAUACAACAAACAGAAAAACAAAAAAUGUUACCAAACAUUCCCUUAAUUUCCAUUGUGUUCUCUUGAAUCACGUGGGAAUGAUUUGAUUAUAAGAUCUUCCUAAACAGAUAUCCACGUGUUCUCACAGGAAGUAAAAAGGAAUAUUCCCUCUCAAGCUUUGUCUAAGCCAAAACAUCCCACAUAAUGCUUCGACAAUGUUCUACAGAAACCAAGUCGCCACAACUAAGUAAUUAUCACUGCUGCAGCUGCAUACAAAAUUGCAGUCAAUAUGGUGCACCUUUAAUGUAAAUAUACUUCCAAUGAAAACGUCAUUGAAUAAAAGAAUGUAACUAGCUAAAUCACACAUAAAACCAGCUUGAAAUUCGAAAUUUGAGAACGCUGCUAUGGCGA